UACAGAGGUCCCAAGCGUUGUUCGGAAUUAUUGGGCGUAAAGGGUGCGUAGGCGGUAGGAUAAGUUAGAUGUGAAAUGUCGGCGCUUAACGUCGAACCUGCAUUUAAGACUGUCCUGCUUGAGCACUAGAGAGGAGUCUGGAAUUUACGGUGUAGCAGUGAAAUGCGUAGAUAUCGUAAGGAAGGCCAGUGGCGAAAGCGAGACUCUGGCUAGAUGCUGACGCUGAGGCACGAAAGCUGGGGGAGCAAACGGG
rnacentral:rRNA from 1 species